GGAUCAUUAAAGAGUAAGGGUGCUCAGCGCCCGACCUCCAACCCUCUGUUGUUAAAACUACCUUGUUGCUUUGGCGGGACCGCUCGGUCUCGAGCCGCCGGGGAUUCGUCCCAGGCGAGCGCCCGCCAGAGUUAAACCAAACUCUUGUUUAUUUAAACCGGUCGUCUGAGUUAAAAUUUUGAAUAAAUCAAAACUUUCAACAACGGAUCUCUUGGUUCUCGCAUCGAUGAAGAACGCAGCGAAAUGCGAUAAGUAAUGUGAAUUGCAGAAUUCAGUGAAUCAUCGAAUCUUUGAACGCACAUUGCGCCCCUUGGUAUUCCGAGGGGCAUGCCUGUUCGAGCGUCAUUACACCACUCAAGCUAUGCUUGGUAUUGGGCGUCCCGUCCCUUCGGGGGCGCGCCUUAAAGACCUCGGCGAGGCCUCACCGGCUUUAGGCGUAGUAGAAUUUAUUCGAACGUCUGUCAAUGGAGAGGACUUCUGCCGACUGAAACCUUUUAUAAUUUUUUCUAGGUUGACCUCGGAUCAGGUAGGGAUACCCGCUGAACUUAAGCAUAUCAAUAAGCGGAGGAAAAGAAACCAACAGGGAUUGCCCUAGUAACGGCGAGUGAAGCGGCAACAGCUCAAAUUUGAAAGCUGGCCUUCGGGUCCGCAUUGUAAUUUGUAGAGGAUGCUUUGGGGAAGCCGCCUGUCUAAGUUCCUUGGAACAGGACGUCAUAGAGGGUGAGAAUCCCGUAUGUGACAGGAAAUGGCACCCUAUGUAAAGCUCCUUCGACGAGUCGAGUUGUUUGGGAAUGCAGCUCUAAAUGGGAGGUAAAUUUCUUCUAAAGCUAAAUAUUGGCGAGAGACCGAUAGCGCACAAGUAGAGUGAUCGAAAGAUGAAAAGCACUUUGGAAAGAGAGUUAAAAAGCACGUGAAAUUGUUGAAAGGGAAGCGCUUGCAAUCAGACUUGUUUAAACUGUUCGGCCGGUCUUCUGACCGGUUUACUCAGUUUGGACAGGCCAGCAUCAGUUUCGGCGGCCGGAUAAAGGCUCUGGGAAUGUGGCCCUCACUUCGGUGUAGGGUGUUAUAGCCCGGGGUGUAAUACGGCCAGCCGGGACUGAGGUCCGCGC
rnacentral:rRNA from 1 species